AUUUUUGGAGGAAGCAAUAGGGGAAAAUUGGCAACAACCAAAAUACGACAAGCCAAGCGCUGGAAAAAGAAAAUCUUUGGGGUAAUAAAAUCUCUAAGGAGGAAGAAAUGACGUACCCGAAUC
rnacentral:rRNA from 1 species